ACCGAAGAUGAGCCCAGAUGUAGGCCAUAUUGCACGCCUCCACGGGCCAGCACGCACGCACCGCGCUCGGAGGCUGCUGCCAGGAGCACGGUACUGCCAGGUGGAAGGGCAGGAUCCGGAAAGCACACCUUUUAAGAAAGCAGACAUUAAAGUAGCGUGGAAGCAGCACGACCACGGCCUGCGAGACAGCUCGCGUUCAGCAGAGCCUCGCUCCUUACGUACCAUACGUAAACACAUCCCCGCUGGUAACAACAAGCGGCAGGCUGGGGGGCUGCUCGCCUUCUGGUGGGGGCCUGGGGUUUUCCUGCAGCGUAUUUCAAGCUGAAAAUCUCUAGUCAGAGAGCGAGUGUGUGCAGUGACAACGAACGAGACACCUCGGGUAAGAAGGAAUGAAUGUUCAAUAGGUCAAACCACCUCGGCACGCACAGAGCUUUUAAGGCCCGGGGUACUUGAUAAUUCCUAUGGAGACAUUAAAGACGUAAACAGCAAAGAAUAAAAUAAAUGCUGCAGAGAAACCUAUACCAAGUAGCGCGUUCUUUCCUCAAAAGCCUGGGAUGAUCAAAGUAUUAAAACAAAAGGCUCCGUGGCAAAGUUGAGGCUUUGUUAGGGGAGCAGCCAUAGCGCUCAUUUCGGCCCAAAGGAAGGGAUCUUUCUGAACUUCCUACAGAUUUAAAAAUUACUUUAAAGACAGGUGAUUCUAAUUGUAGAGUCUGAUUGUUACGUGAGCGCACCUCUCCUCAGCACUAAAUACAUUUUUAAAAGCUCUUGAUUUUUGUACUUUUUAAAGCCAUCCUAUAUCUACACUUGCCGCUUUGCUUUUGUGAGGUUUUAACGUAACAAAGGCAAAGUCAAACAAGUUAAAGUCAUACUUUGCCAAUGUUAAUAAUAAGGAACUUGGUAAGGUGCGGGAGCCAUAAAUUAUUUAGAACUUAGAAACACACGGGGUUUGUGUAUUAUUUUUCCUCUUUUGAAAUGAGACUAUAUUUGUAAUAAAAAAAAAGUUUCCCCCCCAACUGUAAAUAAACUUCUUUUUUGCCUGCAUAAUGCAUAUCUCCACCAUCAGCACAAGCCAGAUACCGCCUUUGUGCUGUACUGAACAUGAAAUAUUAAUGCUGGAUACCUAUAAAAACUAUCCUUCAGUUCACCCUCUAUUUACAGGGUACAGUAGCAAAUAUCCUACCCCUCACGCCCAGCAGACACCUCAAGCCCCUUCUGUGCGCUGCCCUACCUUUCCAGCAUGCGGCUGGUUCCUAAAUAACCUUUGUGCAGUUAAAAUACAUCAGAAACAGGAUGUGAGCUGCUUUCUGGCACAGAGUAAUUGAACAAGGGCAAUUCACGAACAUGCAGGAGCCAGGCCUUUGUGGAGCCUCACACUUCUAGCAUACAGCCACGCAUGCGACUGCACAGUUGUGAGCAUAAACGGUGAAGGGGACAGUAAAGAAAUGCUAUUAGAAGCUUAAUAAUAGGUUUUCAGCGCUGCCCCUUCCACACAAGGAGCCUCUCCUAAAGGGCAGGCUGCCUAGCGGCUCGCAUCACCACGCAACACCCCUCCAAAAAUCAAAGCCCCAUCGCUCUACGAAGGUCUUUCUGGAAGAUUUGAAACAAUCAAAGCCAAGAAGCACCAAAACCAAAACAAGAGUAAAAAGGCUAAGUCACCAACAUAUGUUUCUCACGUGACGUCCGUCUUGAGUUUCUGGUAGCGCACAAGAUGCCCAUCCCGCACGGAACAAGACGGCCCUUCAAGGUUCUCACAGACGGGUGUUGAGAGGAAAGAGAAAUCUCCCUUAUAAACAAGCUCCAACAGUAUCAGUCCACUUCGCUGAAUAAGCUCCUCCACGGCCCUAAGAAUAAAUAUUAAGGAACUGGAAAGCUACAACGCGUUCAUACGCAAUUAUUAUCACCAUUAUAAACAAGCUGCACGAGCAACCUAAGGGAUAGCCAGGCUCACUGUUACAGCUUUCCGACGGCACUCGGAAUUUCACAGCUUUCUAAGGAGCCACUACAACACAUUUUAUUUUCCCAGAAGAAAAAAAGAUGCCUAAAAAUGUUCUCGGUUGUACAGACCUCGUCCAAGCAUUUUUUUAAAUUAGAAUUUCCCGGUAAAGUUUAACAGACACACACACACACAAAAAAAAACUCAUCUCUCAAAACAGAAGUCAAGUUGGAGCAGGAACUAUUUAGGACCAAUACCUGAAACACAGCUGAAGCUGAACGGCCUAGGGUAAAGAGAUCUUUACAAAACCUAAACUGAAGGCAGAGAUCUUACUGUCCAGCCACAAAACACACAAGUAUUUUUCUCUGAACUACCAAAAAUGCAGUUUCCUACUUUUUCUCUAAGUUCCUUGAAGGGAAGUUUUCUGUUUUCAUUCCCUAGAGGAAUAAAAGCAAGCCCCACCACCACCGCUGCCACCAAAUGCCUUCUCCCACCUCACAACAACUCCAGUUCAGGACGCACAAAAAGAGCAAAGACGAAAAGCUUUUGGAUAGAAAUCUGAACAAGAAUAAUAGUAAUAUAAUUACAAAGUACUCCCUAACACAACAAUCCGAGCUACACACCACAGCAGCCACGUUAGUUAACUGGAAACCACUGCAACCCAUGGAGGGCUCCGCGCCAAGCUUCUCGCCGCCCGGGUCCCUUCAGCUAACAGCCAGGGCACGGCGCAGGUGAUGGCCAGCGAGUCCCCGGUGAGCGGGCACCUACCUUCGAGUGCACAACUGGCCUCGUAAGACCUUGAAGUGAUAUUCUAUACGCGCUACUACGCAACACGAAAUCAAUGGGCAGAGAGGUUACUUAAUGCUCCCUCUGUACCAGCGCAAACUUCUGGAUGAUAAUAACUACCAGACGAUAAUCUGAUUUCUCUGCUACAGUAAGGCUGGAAGGUUUAAAAACCACGCAGAAGCACCAUCUAUUUUUUUCUUAAAUACAGAUUUAAAGGUUCACUUACUAAGCAACAGAAUUCCUUAUUUAAAAAAAAAAAAAUAAUUAAAAAAUCCCCCCCUCGAAGAAACAGCUUCAUUCAGCUGCCACAAAACAUGCCCAGGUACAAAUAAAAUUCCCAAACCCUGUGGAUCUUUUUGCUUAAGUCUAGUGACUAACCCCUCCAACUAAUAUGGGUGCUGGUGCAUAUUUUUCACUUGUUUCUUUCUUUUAGCUUCCUGUUCUUAGUGGUAAUUCAAUGUCAGUAUUUAGAUACAAACUAUAAAGUUAUAUUACACGCAGCCAUUAACAAGCUUAACAUGCAAGUUCGAGCAUUACAUGUUUACAUGUGUAGAAGUCAUGAAUUUUAGACUUCUGUCUCUCCAAGGCUUUGAAAAGCAUGUUAUUUCCCUCACAGAUUAAGCCUGAGAACAAGGCACUCUCCAUCAAAUUUAAACAUCUCCCUACUCUGUAGCAUACCCAGCCUCACCAGCUAGCUCCGUCCGGGCAAGCAAGGGAAAGCCAGAGGAAACUGAAUGACAAAACUGAAACUACUCAGGUGUCUUCAUUGUUACAAGCAAGCACAGUGAGGAGGGGAGGAAAAAAAAAAAAAAAAGGUAAACAGACAGCCCAAACCCUUUUCAUUUAUGAUACCUGAGAAUCUACAGCUCAGAGGAAAAGAAGCUACGUUUCUGCGUUUGGGUGCGCGGGAGCGCCCGUCCCUUAAGAUGACGAGGAGCACCAGCAGGUCUAGUUAAGGAAACUUCAGCAACCCAGAGGAGCCGGCUCCUCGCGAGCCCUGCCACUACUGGGCACGUGCCCCUACCUGGAUCUCCCACACUCAGCCCCACGGCACGCCACAGCGCUCGCCUUCCUCGCGCCACGCACGUUAUUACCCCCGGUGGGAUCUUUCUACAUGCAGCCUCCCCAGUGAACAAAAGUUCAUUGUCAAGCUCGGCGCUUGGGCCCAAACAAACAUCCAGAGGGUAGGAGGGGGAGAAAGGAGAGGAAGUGCUCCUAUCCACAAUGCCAAGGUUCGCGGGCAAUCACCGUUACUCACAAUUAAAAAGUGGGAACAGGUGUAGCAGAUAUCAUACUUUGAUAGCUGAACAAAGAAUAUUACAGCACGUGACCGAAAUGUGAUGACAUUUGUUCACCAAUCGAAAACAAAAGCCGCUCUCCAAUGGCACUCUUUCCUCCACCCCCAAGAAUUAGGAACUUGGAAGUCUCUCCAUAUUGAAACACAUCUGCUCACAGCCUCAUUUUCUGACACUUGAGAAGAAGUUGAAUGAGGAGCUCCAUGCAUUAGCCCAACGCAAAUCCACCUAAAAGCCCAGGUGUACAAUCCUACCCCAGCACCAACCGAACUGCAGAUGUGGUUGGGGAAAAAGCUCGACCGACAACGAAGCUCGGAAUAAUAAAGGGAAAGAAAGAAAAACAACAACAACAACACACACACA